CCUGGUGCAGUCCCCCGCCCCCUUUCUUCAGCAAAGAAUUCAGAAACCUCAGUGAUUCCAAAAGGUCCAGAUGGAACAGCAGAGAGUCUCUAUGUGACCUUGGGAAGAAGUAUUUGAACUGGCUUUUGACUGAAUUAUAGUCUUUGGCUGGACAGUAGAAGAAGGCAAACCUAUUCCUGGACCAAGAGGAUUCACAUGAUUAAAACCACAGAAGACUCUUGAAUUCCAAAAUGACCCUGGGUAGAGAUUUCACUAACAUCCUAUGAAGGGAGAGGAAAAGUGAAAAAAAAAGGGCAGGUAGCAGGAAUGAUCUGAAGAAUCUGGAGUGGGGUGAGGACUCCUGAAGGAAGGAUGAAAGAUAUCUAUCAUCUGGGAUGGAUGAAGCCAUGCAUGGAGCCAUGAUAGGAAGAUGAGACUUCUGUGCUGGGAGGUUCUGUAAAAGUCAGAAGAAGCUAGGCUGAAGAAAAUGUCUCUUUGUGGGUGCUCUGGAGAUGAUUCCUAUACCUAUAUAAUCACAUAGACGUAUACCCAGGAUUAUAAGGAAAUUGGAUUUUGGACACAGUGAGAAGAUGACCACCUGCAAGAUAGGAAGUGAAUUGGUGAGAGUUGAAUUAGUUUAGAGGCUACAGAAUAUUGGAAGAUCACAAUAGACGUGUUAUUGGAGCUGGAUACAGUACUUGGUAAGACACAAUGUCUUUGGGUGCUCCCUGGACCCCAUUUUUGGCAUAAGGUGGACAACUUUAUUGAUUACAGGAGGGAUAGCUACAUUUAUUAAACAGAAAUAUUUUUAAAAAUCAAAUACCUGGGCAGCAGGAUGUAUGUUGAUGUUGAACAGCUAAAAACAUGGACGCUUGUUGACUGUUUUGACAGCCGGCAUCCAAAGGGUCUCUCUCUGUGUGGGAGAUUCACAACCUUAUGUGUCUUGGGGGUAGUCAGAGCUUGUUUCCUAUAGUAGGUGGACUUUCCAAGCUGGAGUUAAGCGCUUUCCCAGCCUGCCUUGCAAACAGGCACAGACACAUGACCUGGAAUCCAGUAAUCAGACUCAUCCACCCAGAGGUGGAAACUAGAGCUAGAAAGUGCCACGAGGCAAGAGCUAUGAGGGCACCUAGUGGCAGCAACUGUCCCAAU